rnacentral:rRNA from 1 species
UACGGGGGGAGCAAGCGUUGUUCGGAUUUAUUGGGCGUAAAGGGCGCGUAGGCGGCCACCGCAAGUCAGUUGUGAAAUCUCCGAGCUUAACUCGGAAAGGUCAACUGAUACUGCGGGGCUAGAGUGCGGAAGGGGCAACUGGAAUUCUUGGUGUAGCGGUGAAAUGCGUAGAUAUCAAGAGGAACACCUGCGGCGAAGGCGGCUCACUGGCUCGAUACUGACGCUGAGGUGCGAAAGCGUGGGGAGCAAACAGG